AACCAAAGAGUUGAGUUCAGAUCUGGGCUUUUCUCCCCAGUUCUGCUAAUUAGUCUUUGGCACAGAAACUGGCUGAAUGACGAUAGAUGCGUGAAGUGGUUAUGCUAGGACCACCUUCAUCAAAUUUCAGCCUACAUUU